UACGUAGGUGGCAAGCGUUGUCCGGAUUUACUGGGCGUAAAGCGUAUGCAGGCGGAUUGUUAAGUAGGAAGUGAAAGGUUGGAGCUCAACUCUAACACUGCUCCCUAUACUGGCAGUCUUGAGUGGCGGAGAGGAAGAUGGAACGACACGUGUAGCGGUGAAAUGCGUUGAUAUGUGUCGGAACACCAAUGGCGAAAGCAAUCUUCUGGACGCAAACUGACGCUGAGAUACGAAAGCCAAGGUAGCAAAC
rnacentral:rRNA from 1 species